CCCUAACAGUUUUGAGUUGAUCGAGCUGGGUCGUGAAGAAAGAGGAAGCCAAUGAAAGGAAAAGUUGACUGCCCUGAAAGUUGCUUUGAAACGCUAGAAGUUCCCCAGAUGCACAGAAAGAAGUCUGGGCCCUUCCUCUCCCAUUCCUCCAUCUCCAAGGGAAACAGCCUGAGACCCGCUCUCCAUCACUCACUCUGGACUGGGAAGUUUUUGGUACAGACCGGGAGUUACGUUCCCAGGCACUGUUGCCACACUCUCUUGCGGUAUCAUUUCUAUUCCACAAAGCCCAGCCACGCUCUACAGGAAAGUAGCUUAAAAUAUUUUAAGUGGAAAUGGAUUCCAAAGGACACAUGACCCAACUAUGCUAUUGGAGUAAGAGGAAGAAAGAAGCUAGAAGGGGCAGGGUGGAGGCCCUUUUUGGAGUUUCUUGGAAGCCUAGACUACAUGAAGAAAGACCUUGGAAGAGACAAGUCAAAAUUAAAGCAUCUCCAUCGUAAGCAGGGCUCAGAGGCCACCAGUAUCUCCUGGACUCUUCCCCCGAACAAAACAACAGCAUGUUUUUCAAAAUAAGUGAAAGAAAGUUUUCUUCCCUUGAAGACGAGAGUUAUUCCACAGACUCGAAAUCAGACCACACUGAAGCUCUGCCUGCAAAAAUAAUGGUUUUUCCUGACAUUUUGAAACAGCACAAUUUAACAACUCAAUGUUUCGUUUGACAUUUAAGAAGUCAUCCGUCUCCAAGAAGCUGAUUGGCAAGUCUUCUCGGUUCCAGGAAUUAGCAAAUACAUCGUGCAUGAGAACAGAGCUACAAGAGUCCAAAACACUCUUCAAAAAAAAGCAAGCCCAAGAUGGGGUGGGGAAGCCAAUUAUUACCCACUCUGAGCUGGACUGCCACUUAGCACGGGUCCUGCCAGCAAGCUCUCUGUGUAAGUCAUAACUCUGGAAGGAGUGCACGAUCAUCUCAGCAGAACGCCAGGAAGAGUCACUUCCUAGGGUGUGAGAAUGGGUAGCAGAAAUGAAGUCAGUGGCAGCCAGCACAAAGAGAGGAGAAACUUAAACUUAAACCUCAGCAGUCCUCAGAGAUACUUGCUGAGUGAAUGUGGUGGCACACGCUUUUAAUCUCAGCACUCAGAAGGCGGAGACCUGCAGAUCUCUGGAAUAUCAACAGUGGCCUGCCAAGAGGCAGCCAAGGAAGCAGCCAGUACAGACGAUAGACUCAAGCCAGAGGAAGCAGAGCCAAAGACAAUCUGGCUGAAGGAGGAGAGACGGCAAGAUGAUGAGGCUGGUGAGUGUCCAACACCACGAACAUUUAACCUUUUAUUAGCAUCACAUGUGGUUUUCCUGUGGAAUGUGUGUGUGUGUGUGUGUGUGUGUAACUUUUAUUUACUUAUUUUGAGACAGGCUUCCAAGUAGCUCAGACUGGACUCAAGACUACCAGGUGGGUGUUGGGAAUUGAAUCCCUGUCCUCUGGAGGAGCAGCCAGUGCUUUUAACCACUGAGCCAUCUCUCCAGCCCUGUACCGAUUAGUUUAAACUUACAGUGGACACUGCUUUCAGUCUAUAUCUUCUAUAUUGGCUCUUUUUUAAAAAUGCUAUUCAUUUAUUAAACGUGUAUAGAUGUUUGUCUGCCUGUAUUGUUUCUGUGCCACAGGCAUGUCUGGUGCCGGAGGAAGCCAGAACAUGGCAUUGGAGUCCCUGCAACUGACAUACAGUGUAAGUCAUCAUGUGGGUGCUGGGAAUCAAACCUGGGUCCUCUGGAAGAGCAAUCAGGGCUCUUAACUAUUGAGAUAUCUCUCUGGCAUCCAUAUUGACUUGUUUUUUUUUUUUUAAGAUUUAUUUAUUUAUUAUGUAUACAGAUCUGAUU